GAGUUUGAUCCUGGCUCAGGAUGAACGCUGGCGGCGUGCUUAACACAUGCAAGUCGAACGGGGAUGCCAUUUUCGAGGCGGUUAGUUUACUAAGCGCCAAGAUGCUGGCAUCUUAGUGGCGGACGGGUGAGUAACGCGUGGGUAACCUGCCUUAUACAGGGGGAUAACACUUAGAAAUAGGUGCUAAUACCGCAUAAGCGCACGGGGCUGCAUGGCCCAGUGUGAAAAACUCCGGUGGUAUAAGAUGGACCCGCGUCUGAUUAGCUUGUUGGCGGGGUAACGGCCCACCAAGGCGACGAUCAGUAGCCGGCCUGAGAGGGUGGACGGCCACAUUGGGACUGAGACACGGCCCAAACUCCUACGGGAGGCAGCAGUGGGGAAUAUUGGACAAUGGGGGGAACCCUGAUCCAGCGACGCCGCGUGAGUGAAGAAGUAUUUCGGUAUGUAAAGCUCUAUCAGCAGGGAAGAAAGAAAUGACGGUACCUGACUAAGAAGCCCCGGCUAACUACGUGCCAGCAGCCGCGGUAAUACGUAGGGGGCAAGCGUUAUCCGGAUUUACUGGGUGUAAAGGGAGCGUAGACGGUUAUGCAAGUCUGGAGUGAAAGGCGGGGGCCCAACCCCCGGACUGCUUUGGAAACUGUGUAACUGGAGUGCAGGAGAAGGAAGUGGAAUUCCUAGUGAAG
rnacentral:rRNA from 1 species